AACGAACGUUGGCGGCGUGGAUUAGGCAUGCAAGUCGAACGAAUCCCUGGGGGCUUGCUCCCAGGGGGAAGUGGCGAAAGGGGCAGUAAUGCGUGGGUAACCUACCCUGGGGACCGGGAUAGCCUUCCUAACGGAAGGGUAAUACCGGGCGAGCUGGCGAGGAGGCAUCUCUUUGCCAGGAGAGGAGUUUCGCCUCGGGAGGGGCUCACGUCGUAUUAGCUGGUUGGCGGGGUAACGGCCCACCAAGGCGAAGAUGCGUAGCGGGUGUGAGAGCACGACCCGCGCCACUGGCACUGAGACACUGGCCAGACUCCUACGGGAGGCUGCAGUCGAGGAUCUUCGGCAAUGGGCGCAAGCCUGACCGAGCGACGCCGCGUGUGCGAUGAAGGCCU
rnacentral:rRNA from 1 species